GGAUCAUGACCUGAGUGGCAGGCAGACACUUAACUGACUGAGCCACCCAGGCACCUAACAGUCUGUUUCCUUCAUGAGCUGAGUUCAUUGAUGAGAUGGACUGGGAAACAAAAUAACACUAUAAAUUGGUGAAUGCUGAAGCAGGGAUAUAUGGGAGAAUGAAUGGAGGCUGGACAUCUAACCCAGGAGAUUCAGGAUGGAGGACAUUUCAGCGAGUCAGGACAGUAGGAGGGAAGGCACUGACAAGAAACCAUGUAAAAUGACUGGAACUUAGAGAAGACUCAUCCAUUGCUGACAUUAAACAUGACAUUCUGGAACUUUGCUUUGUCCUGUCAUAUAAAAACUCUAUUCAAGACUUCUUCCUGUCUCCAUUACAGCUUAUCACUAAACACAGGCAUUUUCCCCAGUAAACCCUUGGACUAAUCCCGUGAUGUGAUCUGCCGUGUGGAGGAAUCAAAGUGAUACCACUGUGAAACUGUAUCCGAAAAAAGAGAGGAAGGAGAGAGAAUGGGGCAAAAAUAAAUUGAAGAAAUAAUGCCUGCAAUUUUCCAAAAGUUGCUGAAAAACAAGGUUACAAGAAUCUCAUCCCAAAUGUGACAGAAUUAAUACAAAGCAAGUCAUACCUAGACACAUUGUAUUCAUAAUUCUGAAAUGCAGUGAUAAAGAGAACAUCUAUGUGAAAAGCAACCAGAGAAAAACCACACAUUCCAUAUAAGGGAACAUUGGUACAAAUGCACACAGCAACUGUAUGUGGUCUACAAGCAGAAUUCUUUAUGAAGACAGAUUGUAAAUAGGCUGAAAAAGAUAGACCUGCAAAUGUCAAUAAUUGGAACCUGGAAUGUAUAUAUUAAUACUGGAUGAAGUAGACUUACUGACAAAGUUGUUUUCAAAACAAAUGAGUUAUUUUACACUGAAUAAGGAAAUCAGAGCACCUUGUAAGAUGGCUGAGUCCAGGUCUAAGACAUGAAAUGAACAAAAUGAACCAGGAAACUCUCUCUACACCAGAUUAAAGGGACACUGCUAAAGGCUCUGGGUUGUGUCAGGAGUAGUUGGAAACCAACUUGAAAGAGUUUCCCUGGCAACAUACAGGAAUAUCUGAGCAUCAUAAAUAGACAAGAUCUUAAAACUUCUCAUUAUAGGAAAAAAAUGUACCUAUGUAUGGAAACAGAUGUUAACUAGAUGUAUUGUGAUGAUCAUUUCACAGUAUGUACAAAUACUGAAUCAUGAUGUUGAACAACUGAAGCUGAUAUAAUGUUAUAUGUCAUUAUAUUUCAAUAAAAAUAAAUCGGUAAAUAAA